rnacentral:lncRNA from 1 species
CAAUCAGGGCAUCCGGGUCCACCCCCCACCAAGGCCACAGUGAUUGGCUCUGGCUUGGGCAUGUGACCUCAGCUAGCCAAUCAGAAUCAGCCUCAUUACUUUGACCGAGAGAUGUGAGACCCAGGUGCUCACCUUUACCUGCGGGAUGUGAAUACAGCUCCAUGGGGCCGCAAGGCUGCUCACAGCCGUCUUGGGAGCUGCCACUGGAGAAGAUGGGACAGAGGGGUGAAAAGAAACGGAGUCCUCGAUGACGUUGCUGAGCUGUGGUGUCAACUUUAGUUGAAGCCAGCUAGUGUGGAUUUUCCAGUUACAAAUUCCCUUUACAGUUUAGGCCGUUUGAGUCAGCUUUUCUGUUACUUGCAUCGGAGACUAGCAAAAAUAUUUAACAACCAGUACUUGGGGCGCUGAGCAAUCAGAAUGGUUCAUGCCUGCGCCCGACAUGAACACUUUUCUUGCAUUGUGGAAAGUCCUGGGGGAGGCACCAGGGCAGCUGGAGUGGUCAUGAUGAGGGACGUUUGCCGGCCUCGAGGCAGCAUAACCUACCAGCCAGUACAGAAACCUUUUAGUAUCUCAACAAUCUCCAUAGCAAGAUAGAUUGUCCAAGCAGAAUAUUAGCUUUCCUUAUGGAGUGAUACAACCGGGAUUUGACAUGGGCUAGUGUGAAUGGAUUUCUGUUUCCUGCAACUGGGGGAAAAAAAAAAGGCAUGCUCUCAUGAAUCAAACCUUUAGGAAAUAACAAAUAGCAGUGAAAUGUCACUUUAAUCGAAUGAGGUCAUUUCAGCUGCGAGUCAGGCAGAAACUACGGAGAUUUUGAGCGUGAGCUGCCAAAAGAUCCGCACCCUUUGGCCCAGGAAUCCUGCCUCUGGGACGCUCAAGGAUGUGCAUCGCGACAUUAUUUAUAAUGGGAGGAAACUGGAAACAGCUUCAAUGUCUGGCAACACUGCCCGGUUGAGUAAACAUCGUGCAAACAUUAGAGAUUGUGUUUACACAAAGAUGUUUUAACAGGGGAACAGCUUACGUUUUAAGAAGGGAAAAAGCAGGACUGUAUAAACAAUUUGCUCACACAGUUAUGUAAGACACACACACUCACACACACACACACUCACGCACAC